AUCAUAGAUAAUAAAUGACAUUUAUUUUCAUCACACAAUGUUACAACUAAUUUUUGAAAUUCUUUCCAAACACUCUUGAAAAUAGAAAAGGUAAUUGGAUAAAUUCUUCCACUCCUCUGCUAAAAUAUCUUCACAAAAUACUACAUUUUUAAAAUCUUAUGUCCUUUAAAAGACAAAACCUUUAAGUCAAAAUUUGCAUUCAUCCAAUGAAACAUCAAAAAGCAACAUCAGCAAACAUAAAAUAAUGUGCACAUAGACAUGAGCAAUUUUAUAUGUAAUAACCACGUAAAUGACUGCAUCGCUACCUGAGUAAACAGAUUUGUUCUGGUCAAACAAAACUCAUUUUAAAAAGACGUCUAGUGCAUUUUAUAAUACAAUGCAAAAAUUAGUCUUUAAGACUGACAGUCAUAAAACAAUUACUCCAUGAAAUCAAAGCACUUUUUAGUUUCAGUUACAUUCAUUUUGCCUGUUAUAUACAGGUAAAAGCCAGUAAAUUAGAAUAUUUUGAAAAACUUGAUUUAUUUCUGUAAUUGUAUUCAAAAGGUGUACCUUGUACAUUAUAUUUAUUAAUUGCACACAGACUGAUGCAUUCAAAUGUUUAUUUCAUUUAAUUUUGAUGAUUUGAAGUGGCAACAAAUGAAAAUCCAAAAUUCCGUGUGUCACAAAAUUAGAAUAUUACUUAAGGCUAAUACAAAAAAGGGAUUUUUUAGAAAUGUUGGCCAACUGAAAAGUAUGAAAAUGAAAAAUAUGAGCAUGUACAAUACUCAAUACUUGGUUGGAGCUCCUUUUGCCUCAAUUACUGCAUUAAUGCGGCGUGGCAUGGAGUCGAUGAGUUUCUGGCACUGCUCAGGUGUUUUGAGUUAAUCAGCUGAUUAGUUUGUGGCACCAGGUGUCUUCAAAAUUUAACCCUUACACAAUAUUCUAAUUUUGUGACACACGGAAUUUUGGAUUUUCAUUUGUUGCCACUUCAAAUCAUCAAAAUUAAAUGAAAUAAACAUUU